CUCUUGUGUAUUUAACUUUCAGCAAUGUAAUCUUCAGCAAUGUUCUGUUUAUAGACAACAUCGUAUACUCCAAGACUACAUCAGGGAUGAGAUAGAGACUUGCUCUCUGUUUACAGAAUUACUAGCAUGCUUGGAAGACAGAUGCAAAUCAUUCCUGAACACAGCGAAAGAAGAAACAGCAAGACUUCUGCAAAAAGACUAAAAGACUGGAGGGACACAGGAACAAAAUUACGUGUCGAAAUACCCAUCAAUCAGAAGAAAUAAGCAGAAAUGAAUGAAUUUUGGCUAUUAUCUUUGGGAAAAACAGAUGGCAUGUUUCAACUAGAGAUAAACCACUCCUGGGGAACAUUGAUCAAGUGAGAGCUGGACAAAGAUGAGAUGGCUUUCAUCUAGAAUGGGUUUAAGAACAGAGUCAGGAAAAUAAUAGGUAUUGGAAAUCAAGGAAUGAAGACAUUGAUUGAUGAUGGGAAAGAGUGUGA
rnacentral:lncRNA from 1 species